UCUGGACUCUGAAUCCAGCGAUCCGAG
rnacentral:piRNA from 8 species